rnacentral:lncRNA from 1 species
GUGUGUGUGUGUGUGUGUGAAAAUCUCUUCAUAUAACUCUAAAUUUUGUAUUUUGUAAAAUUUGUAGGAAGAAGAGAUAGCUCGAAUCACAGAUGCAGAAAAAAAUUAACCCACACUCACUCUAGGGAGCCUAGUGGUGUAUUCUAUUGAUAUAGUAGGAAAACAUGAAUAUGUUUUUAGGAUAAAGGUAUCUUUAAAGUCAAUGUUGUCCCUAUGCUUAUAUUAGUUUCUUAGGUCCAGAGAAGAACAAGAAACAGUUUCAAGGAGAACAAAAAUAUCUAUUGGAAAGAAUACAUUAGCAAGCCAAAUAAAUCCCAUCUGUUUGGAGGAGAUAAGCUAUCAGGAGAUGAAUACCAAAGGCUGGAGUAAUGGUCUCCAUCCUUUAGAUCAUCUUUCAUCAAAAGCACCUCAACAGGAAGCAGCCUCAACUUGCCAGUCACCCUCAGAAGGAAGAAGGAGAAAAGAAGACAAAGAAGAAGAAAAAGAAGAAGAAGAAAAGAAGAAGGAAAAAGAAGAAGAAGAAGAAGAAGAAGAAGAAGAAGAAGAAGAAGAAGAAGAAGGUGUUAUAUUUUGUUCUGCCUUCAUACUCUAUCAGUUCUUUUUCUGAAGGCAGAUAACAUUUUUAUCAUGAGUCUCUGGAUCAUUAUAUUGCAUAGAAUAAGGAGGUCAUUCACAGUUGUUCAUCAAAAAGUAUUGUUUUUAUUAUGUACAAUGUUCUCUUUUCUAUUCAUUUUGCAUCAGUUCAUCUAAGUAUUUCCAAGUUUUUUCUUUAUGAAAUAAUCUUGCUUGUCAUUUCUUAUGGCAUAAUAGUAUUCUAUUAUAAUCAUAUCCCACAACUUAUUCACCUAUUCUCCAUUUUCCUCAUUUUCCAAUUCUUUGCUACCACAUAGAGAGCUGCGAUAACUAUUUUUGUAUAAAUAGGUCCUUUUCUCUCUUUUUAAAACAUCUUUGGGAUACAUAUAUAGAAAUGUCUAUAUCAAAGGGUAUGUAUAGUUUUAGAGCCCUUUGGGCAUAGUUUCAAAUUGUACUUAAGAAUGAUUGGAUCAUAAGAAAUGAUGAAUAGAAUGUUUUCAGAAAGAGCUGGAAAGACCUAUCUGAACUGAUAAAGAAUAAAAAAAUCAGAACUAGGAGAACA